UGCCACAGCUCCUACUCUCUAGCUGUCCUUAUGGUAGCAGUUAUGGCAUUCCACUGUGGGAAAGAAACUUACAUGAUUAAACACCUCUUCCUUAAGAAAAUAGAAGUGGACAUAUGUAUGACGAACAGAA
ensembl:snoRNA